CCCUGAAUAACCUUCCACCCUACUCCUGAGUCAACCACGCAACCCUCAGGAAACAAGAAAUUUCUACCAAUGUCUAACACCUAUUCCUACUUCAUCUAAAAGGGAUACUUUGUUCACUAAGGAGUCACUGAAUAUGUCAGCAUAUACUAUUAAAAUUUUUCUUUAAAAAUUCUAUCUUCUUAGCGCAGAAUAUGAGUGUACAGCAGAAGUGUACCAGAAUUAUACCAGAAGUGUACCAGAAUUAGGAAGCCAGGUUCUAUUUCUCUACCCAUUUUUUGGCCACUCUAUGGGGCUUGCGGGGUCCUAGUUCCCUGACUGGGGGUUGAACCCACGCCCUUGGCAGUGAAAGCACAGAGUCCUAACCACUGGAUUGCCAGGGAACCCCCUCUAUUUCUCUACCAUACCUUCCACAGCAACUUAAGCAAGUCACUUAUUCUUCUAGGCUUUAGCUUCCUCAGUCAUAAAAUGAGAGGCUGAACUAGUCAGGGGUUAUUCAGGGCAUUCAUUCAAGAUGCCUUAAGAGGUUAAGGCAUGUGUUUUAAGGGAUUCUUAACUUUCCCCACCAUGGGAACUUACAUAAAAAAUAAUCUGUUUGCAUAUGUGGGUUUUUCUGGAAAAGUCUAUGGCUUAUGUCAGACCAUCACACAAGUUGUGGCCUCCCAAAUAACCAUAUCGCAUGCUUUAUUGAAUACUUACUAUGCACUAGGCACUGCGGUAAGCCCUUGUGUAUUAACUCAUGUAACCCUCACAAUAACCCUUUGAGUUAGAUACUACUAUUAUCCUCAUUUUGCAAUUAAAGAAAGUAAACCAAAAUCAGCCUGACCUCUUAAACACAAUGCUAUGUUAGGUAAGAUCAUCUCUAAACCCAAAAUUUGUCUGAUCCUGUGUUCAUUCAAAUUAAUGGUUUCCCUUUAGUUAAAUUUUCUGCCUCAUUUCACAAUCAUUAGUCAUACACAUGUCUUUACACAGAGCAAGCAAAUUCAUGGCACACCCAAACGAAUGUUACCUGAGAAAGAAUAUACUAGGGAAUUAACCCAAGUUGAGGAUCCAAAGGCACUUUCCAGCUCCAGCCUCUAAUCCGCUUUUACUUUAAAACAUGGUGUGGUGAUUAGCCAAGAGAUGAAUCUGAAUCUAAUUACUAAUUAAAGUCUAAAAUCAAAAUAACAGUAAAUUGGCCAAAGUGUCUGCCAGAAGAGAGGACGCAGUGACAGCACUCACCGAGCCAAUGAGAAGACCAGAAAAGAAAGGAGAACAAGGCCUGGGGUCCCAUGUGACUGGCUUCUCCCCCUAUUCCCUCCUCCUCAAAACCACUGACCACUGUGCAGACAAGGACUGGAUCACCCUCCAUGUGAGAGACAACGGCUGUCUAAAGCAGAGGCCUGAGACUUAAAGAAGGUGAAGAGGAGGGAAAUACAGCAUUUGAAUGGAGAGGAUGACCAAGUUAGCCUGCAGCUCUACGCAAGGAUCCCAUUUCUCAUGCAGCUUGAAAUUAAGGGGCCUGGCAUUCUGACAAACCAUUAAAGCCAGACAGCAGACAUGAUGACAGCUUGGACUUUAAAUACCCUCCUCAUAGCUUUGGAUCUGCCCAUAGAGAAGAAAACAAGAAACCAACGACCUUCCACUUCUUUUAUUCAGCACAUCAGAAUGAUCCUAUUUAUCAUUCAGAAUGAGCUGCUUCUCUGAAAAACAACAGAGACACAGGGACAAGAAAGAAUGGGACCAUUCUACCCCACCAGAACAGGAGACUGCAACGUACUGGUUUUGUCAAUGAGGCUCUGAGCCUGCUCUUCCAUCCAUUUCUGAUAGUAGUCUUUCACAUUCUCUUUGUGCUUCCUACCACUGCAGUGUGUCUUUCUCACAGAUGGCUGUAAAACAAAAACGUAGUUAUCAGUCAAAGAAACAAACAAUCCGAAACCAGAAAUUUUCUGAAGCCUUACCUUUUUGUAGGUAGCCUCACUACCUUUGACAGCUUUAGCUGGGUGCCAAAGCAUCACUAAAAACAUUUUCCAGCGAUGUACGGUGGUAAUUUACCUACUGCAUGUGUUAUCUAAACCAGGGCCCAGCUACCUGACUUUGUCUAUGGAGAGUCUACGUCUUCUCUCCACAACAGCAAAGCUGAGUAACUGCAACAGAGACCGUAUGGCCCACAAACCUAAAAUAAUUAAAAUCUGGCAUGUGAAGAAAAGGUUUGCAAUCCACUGAUCUAAAACACAGUAUCAUUUUAGUGCCCUUUCUUAGGUUAUUCUAUGGAAAAUCAAUAUAGCUUACAUACAUUUAAAUAACAGUUUAUGGAAAUAUGGUCUUUUAAAGGACCAUAGGUCUAGAAUAUAGAUUCUAUAUGAAUCCCUCACAGACCUUUAGCUCAUCUAACAGUUUUACUGAGAUAAAACUGACAUAAGAAACUUCACACACUUAACCUUUUAAGUUUAACUUUUACUACAUGCCAGACACCAUGCUACGUACUUUACAAGUAGUGCCUCAAUCUCCAUAAGACCACAGGUGCACAAUACAGUGAAAUACCAAUCAGAAAGAAUGAACUGCUGAUAUAUGCAAUACAGACAAAUCUCAAAACCAUGCUGAGCAAAAGAAAUCAAACAUACAGAGUAUCUAAGCCUCCAUUCAUAUAAAGUUUAAAAUCAGUAAUAAUGAUCUUUAGUCAUAAAAGCCAGAUCAGUCAGGGUCGGGGUGCACAGGGACUCACUACAAAAAAGCACAGGAGAACCUUCUGGAGUGACGGAAAUGUUCUAUGUCUUUAUGCAUACAGCAAGCUGUAAUCAUCUGACAAAUCAUCAAACUGUACACUUAAAAUAUAUGCAUUUAACUGAAUAUAUGUAAUUCAAUAAAAUUGAUUUUAAAAACCACAA